rnacentral:rRNA from 1 species
GACGAACGCUGGCGGCGUGCUUAACACAUGCAAGUCGAACGGAAAGGCCCCCUUGUGGGGUACUCGAGUGGCGAACGGGUGAGUAACACGUGAGUAACCUACCCUUGACUUUGGGAUAACUUCAGGAAACUGGGGCUAAUACCGGAUAGGAGCUCCUGCUGCAUGGUGGGGGUUGGAAAGUUUCGGCGGUUGGGGCUGGGCUCGCGGCUUAUCAGCUUGUUGGUGGGGUAGUGGCUCACCAAGGCUUUGACGGGUAGCCGGCCUGAGAGGGUGACCGGCCACAUUGGGCCUGAGAUACGGCCCAGACUCCUACGGGAGGCAGCAGUGGGGAAUAUUGCACAAUGGGCGGAAGCCUAAUGCAGCAACGCCGCGUGCGGGAUGACGGCCUUCGGGUUGUAAACCGCUUUCGCCUGUGACGAAGCGUGAGUGACGGUAAUGGGUAAAGAAGCACCGGCUAACUACGUG